rnacentral:rRNA from 1 species
UACGAAGGGGGCUAGCGUUGCUCGGAAUUACUGGGCGUAAAGCGCACGUAGGCGGAUUGUUAAGUCGGGGGUGAAAUCCUGGAGCUCAACUCCAGAACUGCCUUCGAUACUGGCGAUCUCGAGUCCGGGAGAGGUGAGUGGAACUGCGAGUGUAAGAGGUGAAAUUCGUAGAUAUUCGCAAGAACACCAGUGGCGAAGGCGGCUCACUGGCCCGGUACUGACGCUGAGGUGCGAAAGCGUGGGGAGCAAACAGG